UCAUAGUACACGAAGAAAAUUUAUCAUGAAUCUCUCAGUAGCCGUUGCUGUAUUUGUCGUUCUUGCCUUGGUCUUGCAGUCAGAAGCGGGCAAAUUUGGAAAGAGAGUUUUCACUUCUGGAUCGCGACCACAUGAUUGCAGAAAGAAGCAUGUGGAAGAAUCUGAAAGUAUAAAUGAAGAACCUGUUAUAGAUGUUACAAUACAGCCUCUUGAAGUUACAGAAGCUCCUAUAGACGUUACAGAAUCUCCUACAGAAGUUAUAGAAGUUCCUGUAGAAGUUACAGAAGCUCCUACAGAAGUUGCAGAAGCUCCUACAACAGCAACCACGGUAAUCCGCUUCGAUCCAUUCUGUGGUACGUUUGUGGGUAAUUGUCGUGACACCUGUGAGAUUGAUGAAACAGACUUUGGUGCCUGUGGGAACGGUAGUAGUUGCUGUGUUCCAGACAUUUGAAUAACUGAAUGAAUCGUACAUCGGAAGCAUGCAAAAAAUCAAGAAAUCUAAAGACCUUUAACUCCAGAACACUAAAUUUAUUCUUUUUGUGUGUGGGUGAUAUUAGAAUGGAGUCUGUGCAACAUCA